rnacentral:lncRNA from 1 species
CCUGAGAAUGUUUCAAGGUCACCAAAAGCUUUCUGAAAAUGCCUUUCUGCAAAGAAGGUUUCCAGGUACCAUUGUCUUAAAGAAAUCUCUGCGACAGAGUCAACAUCAUACACUCUAAGCUCUAGAGCUAUAUUUUGUAAAAACAAAAAAGGUUUCCCUGCUUCACUUUGCCUGCGGACCCCCUUCUGAUGAACUCCACUCAGGCCUUGUUCCUGGAGCCCUCUUCCUCUGGCUGCAAUCCAGAGCAAGUUGCUGUCUGGACUUGUUGAAAAGCUGUUGUCCUGAGACUUCUCUUCAAAUUCUAAGGAAAAAUUUACUUUUUCUCAGGAUUCUAAACCCAAUCAAAUAAUCAAGUGUAAAGGCAAAAUAGAUACAAAAUGUACCUUGCAAAUACUCUAGGAAGCUACUGGAAGAAAGGCUUCAGCAAAUAAAGGAAGUGUAUGAAGAAAGAAAGAAGCAUGGCACAUUGCUACCUUAACUAAUAAAAAUCUCUGAACUUUCCGGUCCCAUCUGAGGAAGCAAAAAUGCUACUUGCUGCAAAAACGACACCAUUUAUCACACUGCAACAAAAGCAAUGUAUAGGCAUGCCUUGGGGAUAUGUGAGUUUGAUUCCAGACUACUUCAAUAAAAUGAAUACUG